ACAAAAUCGGGCUGCCUGAGCUAGCAGUAGCAACCGGUUGGGGUGCCCUUCUGCAUUGUGAAGGCUUUGUUCUUUGGCUCUUUGCGAUAAAUCUUGCUGCUGCUCACUUUUUGGGUCCACGCUGCCUUUAUGAGCUGUAACACUCUCUGUGAAGGUCUGUAGCUUCACUCCUGAAGCCAGAGAGACCACGGGAAGGAACGAACAACUCCAGACGCCCCGCCUUAAAAGCUGUAACACUCACCGCGAAGGUCUGCAGCUUCACUCCUGAGCCAGUGAGACCACGAACCUACCAGAAGGAAGAAACUCCAAACACAUCUGAACAUCAGAAGGAACAAACUCCGGACACGCCGCCUUUAAGAACUCUAACACUCACCGCUAGGAUCCGCGGCUUCAUUCUUGAAGUCAGACUGCCCUUUUCCAUGAUUUUAUCCACUUCUUCCACUCCGCCUGAAACCUGUCUGCCUGAGCCCUGCCGAGACCCAGGCCCAGUUUUCUGUCUCGGAUUACUUCAGAGUUUGGCUUGGGCCUUUUCUUCAGGAAUCAUGCUGUGACUCGCUUAGGACCAGCACCACCAGUAAGAAAGACAUGAUCACUUCCCCAGAGAUUGUGCCAAAGAAAAGUUGUACUCUUAUAUUCUGUAAGAAUUGUUGCAUUGAGAUGAUUUUCAAAGAAAUUCCCAAGAAAGAAAAAUCACAACAUUCUGUUCUCAAGGUGAUAAAGACUUGCUUCCCAGCCUGAACACUGGCUUUGGAAUCAGGUACUUGGAAAGCAGUUUUAUCUAAAACCUAUUUCGCUUAUCAAGUUAGGGUAUGCAAGCUUUUUAUUCUUUCUUACUCUUAGUUUUUUCAUCUAUAAAAUGGGAGUGCUGAUAAUAACACAGUGCAGAAAAGAAUAUGUACCUGACUUACUUUAUGUGUAUGUAGCAUAAUUCAAAUGUAAGCGUAAUCAUGAAAAUAUUGAUUAGAAUGGGCAAAGUGCACA
rnacentral:lncRNA from 1 species